rnacentral:rRNA from 1 species
UGUAUGGUUAAGUGACUAAGCGUACACGGUGGAUGCCUGGGCAGUCAGAGGCGAUGAAGGACGUACUAACUUGCGAUAAGCGCAGAUAAGGCAGUAAGAGCCGUUUGAGUCUGCGAUUUCCGAAUGGGGAAACCCAACUGCAUAAGCAGUUACUGUUAACUGAAUACAUAGGUUAACAGAGCAAACCGGGGGAACUGAAACAUCUAAGUACCCCGAGGAGAAGAAAUCAACCGAGAUUCCGGUAGUAGCGGCGAGCGAACCUGGAUUAGCCCUUAAGCACUCGGUGAAGUAGGUGAACAAGCUGGAAAGCUUGGCGAUACAGGGUGAUAGCCCCGUAACCGACGCUUCAUCGAGCGUGAAAUCGAGUAGGGCGGGACACGUGAUAUCCUGUCUGAAUAUGGGGGGACCAUCCUCCAAGGCUAAAUACUCCUGACUGACCGAUAGUGAACCAGUACCGUGAGGGAAAGGCGAAAAGAACCCCUGUGAGGGGAGUGAAAUAGAACCUGAAACCGUGUACGUACAAGCAGUAGGAGCACCUUCGUGGUGUGACUGCGUACCUUUUGUAUAAUGGGUCAGCGACUUAUAUUCAGUGGCAAGGUUAACCGUAUAGGGGAGCCGUAGCGAAAGCGAGUCUUAACUGGGCGCUCAGUCUCUGGAUAUAGACCCGAAACCGGGUGAUCUAGCCAUGGGCAGGUUGAAGGUUGAGUAACAUCAACUGGAGGACCGAACCGACUAAUGUUGAAAAAUUAGCGGAUGACUUGUGGCUAGGGGUGAAAGGCCAAUCAAACUCGGAGAUAGCUGGUUCUCCCCGAAAGCUAUUUAGGUAGCGCCUCGGACGAAUACUACUGGGGGUAGAGCACUGUUAAGGCUAGGGGGUCAUCCCGACUUACCAACCCUUUGCAAACUCCGAAUACCAGUAAGUACUAUCCGGGAGACACACGGCGGGUGCUAACGUCCGUCGUGGAGAGGGAAACAACCCAGACC